ensembl:lncRNA
GUCAGAUGCCCCAGUGUGACAUUUGUUCACUGACACCUGCUGUACAUAAAUAUGGCACCUCACUCAUUCAGGUGUUCACUUAAUGAGUGUCUACUGCACACCUUUGGUGUCUCCCAGAGUUGGUCUUAGCUGCUGGGGGUACAGCGAGAAAUCAGGCAGACGGGGUCCUGUCCUCCCAAAGCCCACAGUCUGGUGAGGGAGACAGAGAAGUUAGUUACAGACAGUGGAAGUGUUAGGAUAGGGCAAUAACAGGUGCCACCAGAGCCCGAGAGGGGCAGUCCCUGACUCAGACUUGGCAACUUAGGAAGUCUUCCUGGAAGAAGUGAUAUCCAAGCUGAGGCCCGAUGAGUAACUAGGGUUAGGUGAAGGUGGGGUGGAGGGCACGUGCAAAGGCCCAGAGCUGAGAGCGAGCGUGGCUCGUCGGAGAACUGAAAUGCUGUAGAGCUAGCACACAGGUGCGUGAAGCCGUGGUGGGUGCAGUGAGAUGCUUAAAGAGGUCAGCAUGGUAAGGAGCUUUGCGUUUUAUCCUGAGGCAGUGGAGGGGGCACUGAAAGGUUUGAAGCAGAGGAGUGACAUGCCAGGGUUGUAUUUUAGGAUGCAAGCUCUGGUUCAUCCAGAAAUCUCCCUAAGCAUCCGUCACAUGCCUCAAAUAACAGAUAUUCAGUACGUAUUGCUCAGGGAAACAUCCCAGAGGGGAUGGGAACACCACAGCCUGCCUCCAAGGAAUCUCACCGUCAGCUGUAGCAACAACAUGAGCAUCAGGCAGCCACCUGGCACCAAGGGGCAAGAUGCUGUCCGCCCCAGAGGAGGCCUAUGGACCAGGUGCUCAGACAACGGGGAGUUUUGGGGUGGCUGAGGUGGUCAGGAAGCCCUUCCUGGAGGAGGUGGGGCAGGUGCUGGCCUUGUGGGAUGAGUAGGUUUAGGGAAAUGAAAAGGGAAAGAGAAGCUGCUCAGGCCUGGGGAGGCAGGUGGUGUGAAAAGUGCCCGGCGCUUGGACUUAGAACACCUGAGUUCAAGGUCUACUUGCCAAUAGACAAGUAGCAAAUGCACCUAUCAUGGUUUUUGCAUGAGAAGAAGCUGGUGAGGCCCCUGCCUGCAAUGUACUCAUUGUGGAGUUCUGGCUUAUCAAGGCGCCCCUGACUCCCUCCACCAGGACCUGACUUCCGGCCUGGAAGAGUCCUUUUCGGGCCUGUUGUGGUAGGGCAGAGACUAAAAUACUCUGGACUCGGGAUGAGAAAAAAGCGGGACUGCACUCCUGGCAGCAUCCUGAGGGGCUGGGAUCCUGAACAAUCCAUUCUCUCAACCUUGCUCAUCUGUUUUCUUAUCAGUAUUUUCUCAGCUUACCUUUUCUGUUUUCUUCUCGGUAAAACGGGUACAAUUCCUCUUCUCACAGGGUGAAUGAGAGGAGUAAAUGAAACUUCGGCGUGGCGUGAAUAGUUGUGGAUGACUUCAGGAGUACCACUGCUGUGUAGACAGAACAGAGUGUCCCUGUAGCAUCUCCCUCUGCCACAACUGAUGCAGCACUGCGGCCGUCCCCUCUGUCGCUGGUAGACAGGCAGAUCAUCAACGCCCACGCAGCCCCAGCUGGCGCUCUGCAGAGCCCAUGAAGCUGUUUGGCCUCGGGCCAGGAUGGGCCUACAAAGCCAGAAGCAUCUGAUGUGGCAUGUCUGACGCACCUCCUAAGCCAGCCGCUGGCUGCUCCUGUCCCUGUUUACUCCUCUGGCACUGGCUUCUAAGGCAGGGGCGGGAGCUGGAGGGAGAGACAGCGUUAGAUUUCCCAGGAAGAAAAGGAUUCCAUGACUCUAAGAAGUCCUAAAACCAAUGAUCUAUCCAGCAGUCAUUCUCAAAGCUGCCUGUGCAUCGGGAUCAACUGGGUGACUUGUCCUCUCCCAUAGCCAGUAAGGCUGAAGAAGUCCUGAAGAAGUGCUGGACUUGCCCUUCAACAUCCAGAGGUGCCCUUCCAGGCUCUACUUCCCUCGUCCUCUGCUGGGCUGCCACCAGUUCACCGGGUUGCUGGGAGGACUGAUAACAGCAUGUGUGGUGGUUGACAUGUGCUGUUGUCUGCCCAUCACCCAUUUCCCCUGCAUCUAAUUACAGAAUGCCCCUUGUCCCUUAGGCACCCACCCUUUCCCACUCUCAAGUCAUGUGGUAUAAGCAACACUAACCCUCAUGGUACCCCCAAUUCUAAUGGGGUCUCUUCCCCUGCAUCCUGGGGUGUGUGACUUGGGCCUGUUCAAUCUCUGUGUUCCAUGCCUCUUGCCACAAGACUUGAUUUGAGAUGGACAACAAACCCAGUCUAUUCUAUAAGAGUCAAUUCCUGGACCUUGGGCUCAAACUCUUGGGGGAGAGAAAUUCUGUUUCUAGUAGGGUUGUCGAGCUGCAAGAUUUGAGUCUGGAGCUUUCAACAACCAUUUUGCAGCUUCCUAGGGGAAAGCUAGUCUGAGAAUGAAGUUAGCACAGAGCCAAGGGACCAAGACACAGAGACCCUAAGCUGCUGGAUCCAACUGGGCCUGAUGCCAGACAACCCUGUACAUCUCAGUCACAUGAACCAAUAAAUUUUCCUUUCUUGGUCAACCUGAUCUGAGUUGACAUUCUGCUCCUUGCAAUAAAAAAAAAAAUAACUAAUAUAGCAUGAGUUUUUGAAAAAGCUGAACUAUGUUCUUCUUUGGCUGAGUCAUAUAUGUAUAAAGGGGAGUAGGAGAGAAAAGGUUGGGAAAUUAGGCUGCAGAUACACGGCAGGGGGCCUUGAAGACUUGAGAUGGGCCACCCAGUCUCUGAGACCACCCGACCACAGGAUCUCCUGAGGCCAGGUGAUCCUAGGAGUUGCCAA